CCUUCGAUAGCUCAGUUGGAAGAGCGUGGGACUGUAAUGGGUAUCCUGGCAUCCCGAGGUCACUGGUUCGAUCCCGGUUCGAAGGA
rfam:Peniophora sp. CONT PENSPscaffold_94_Cont156, whole genome shotgun sequence.